rnacentral:rRNA from 1 species
GUGGGGAAUAUUGGACAAUGGGCGAAAGCCUGAUCCAGCCAUGCCGCGUGUGUGAAGAAGGUCUUCGGAUUGUAAAGCACUUUAAGUUGGGAGGAAGGGCAGUAAGUUAAUACCUUGCUGUUUUGACGUUACCGACAGAAUAAGCACCGGCUAACUUCGUGCCAGCAGCCGCGGUAAUACGAAGGGUGCAAGCGUUAAUCGGAAUUACUGGGCGUAAAGCGCGCGUAGGUGGUUUUGUAAGUUGGAGGUGAAAUCCCCGGGCUCAACCUGGGAACUGCCUCCAAAACUGCAUGACUAGAGUACGGUAGAGGGUAGUGGAAUUUCCUGUGUAGCGGUGAAAUGCGUAGAUAUAGGAAGGAACACCAGUGGCGAAGGCGACUACCUGGACUGAUACUGACACUGAGGUGCGAAAGCGUGGGGAUCAAACAGGAUUAGAAACCCUAGUAGUCC